UCUAUAUCGGAUCGUAAAUAGUUGGCCGAUCCUUAUGAGAAUUUCACCAUAAAAUAAAUUUUCUAAUUAAAAUGUUUCAAACAAACCCAAGCAUCUUUAAAAAUUGCAAGGUUGUGCCUUGCCAUUUUGGCAUUCCAUUUUGGGCAACUUAAUCCGAUUUGCUUAAUUUUAUAAGGUAUAUCCGAUGUAUAUAAAUAAUAUAAGCUGCUACUAAACUGCAGGUGUAUAUCAGCGUCGGCUGCAUCUGAAGUUAGCUUUCCUUUCUGGCUCAUUAGAAGAUUAGUUCGUGAAAUGUACCUUGUAGCGGAUCCCUGUUAAGGUGUACCGCGGAAACUGUGGGUGAUGGAACCUAUGUUUGUUCUGGACUUUGGUUCAGUGGAGCCUAAAGUUUGUGGAGCAGUUAAAACUUUGCGUAGAAGAAAAAAAAAUUGGAAAUUGUCGGCCUGUGUUAUUAAUAAUUAGAAUUUAAUUGAUGCUGGCACAAGUCCCAACAUUCUCCGCCCGUUUAAAUUUCAACUUUUAACAAAAAUUCACAACGGCAUGGGACAGCUCCAUCAGAUAACCUUUUUUAUGAUACCAAGGACAAUCAUUCUCGGUUGCAGGUUGUCGUGUCCAUCCAGACCGAGAGUCAUCCAGCAAGCGCUUAAGCCAGGCGCUUAAAAUAACAUCCAAGAGUUCAUUUGAGACAUGGCCAAAACUCGACAUAAUUGCUGACUGCGAUGCGGAUUGAUGCCGACUGCAAAAUCCAAAUCCCGGGAGAAGGCGGCCGUUGCCGACACAAUCCCGGCAGCGAUAGACUUGUUAAUGGCGAUCUUGGCAUCAUCCGAAACUAAGGACUUAUUGGUUCGGUCAGCCUCAUCAGAAAAAACUACGGCGGUAUCCGGAGACAUGGCAGUCUUCACAAAAAGUGUGGCGAGAGUGAUGCAAUUGGGCAUUGAUGAGAUAAAGCGGAAAGCUGGGAGUAUUUCCAGAAUAAGCCACUCCCAAUUUCACUAUAACUCAGUCACUACAAUCCUGGAGCGUGGUGAAUUUAUCACCAAUCAAAAUUUCCAAAGGCUCUAGUAUCAUGAUGUUGAAAUCCUCCAUCAUCCACCUCCUCCUUCUGCACUGCAGCCUUGAAUUUAUAAUACAUGGCUUUCACCUCCUUCCAUCUCCGAAGAAGCCUUUCCCUACUUGCUGGAAGCGAGGUGCGUGUCGAGUCUCCAGACUAUGUAGCAAUGCAAGGCGGUGGGUAUUUCCGAAUUAUCCGAGGCACCUUUUUAACUAUCGCAACAACAAAAGGCGCGAUCACGUCGGUUUCACCAAAUGUAACGCUACGAGCUUGAAUAUUUGUUGGGGUGGUGCCAUCUUCGGCGUCUGAGACUUCAAUCUUGAUGGCCAGUUUUGUUUGAGAUCUGCGAUGUCUUUGCUCUGGAGGCGACGGAGUCCGAUCUGUUCACAUUUACGGUGACAGAGCUGAAGCCGAAUUUAGCUCCCCCCGGCCUCUAUGGAAGCUACGUUUAUUGAUGAUUAAGAGUUGGUCCCUCCAUUAGUUUCACCUUCGCCACUUGCCAGUUCGUUAUGAGAAAGUGCGGAUUUUAACACUGGAGCAUGAUGAGUGUCUAACCCGGCUCCAUGAUGGAUACCGGUAUCCAGAUGCUCGCUUGGGGCCUACAAGGAAUGUCACUCGGGCUCAGCGCAAAAUGUUUGGCAUCCUAGUAGACCUUGUCUAAAUUUUCUACCGCAGACUUGUAUAGUUCUAUGGACCACUUGUCAUCGCAAGUCUAUCUGAAAAUGCUCUGGAACCACACUACGUCUUGACAGACAGCUGCAGGGCCAGGUUCCCUGGCCAGGACCGCGAAGCAUUUAGCUUGGGUGACUUCUACCAACCUCUACAUGUCUCUGGGAAUCCUUCGUGAUUCCAAUCCUUGUUCGAUAACUCUGACCAAGAUGCGGUUUUUUGCGAUCUCCCCGUGAGCUCUCUGCAUGUCCUAUGAGGGUUUUUCGCUUGUUUUGCGUGUUUUCGCUUGGGUACUACUUUAAAUUAUCUUUCGAAGUAUUUUGAAGAUUUAAAAAAAAACUGGUAUAUUUUCUGGGAACAAAUGCCGGAAACAAAAUGCUGGGAAGAAAUGCCGACUAGCUCACAGAGUUUGUGGGAAAAUUCCACCUAAUUCAUUGAUUCGACGUGAUUUCCCGAGCCCAGAAAUAAUGAAGAUGGCUUAAAUAUACCUAAUGACCGAUCCGUUUGUAUGCUUCGAGACUGGGCUACCUGUUGUGUUUGGGUAAUGGCAUCCGCGUUGUCAGCAGAACUUGUUCAGAAUCAUCAGAAAUAAAAAUAAAAAAAUA